UCCCGGCGUGCCCCGCGGCGGGCGCUGGGCCGGAGCCGGAGCCCGAGCGGCGCGGCCUGGAAGAGGCCGGAGGCCGGGAGAGGCGGCGGCAGCCCGGGCAGCCCGAGCCCCGCAGCUUGGGCCUGCGCUCGGCGCCAUGAGCGGCGGCGCGCCUUCGGGGGGCGGCCCUGGGGGCUCGGGCCGGGCGCGGACAAGCUCGUUUGCGGAGCCUGGCGGCGGCGGCGGCGGCGGUGGCGGUGGCCCUGGGGGCUCGGCCUCCGGCCCGGUCGGCAGCACCGGCGGGAAAGUGUCAGUCGGAGCCAUGGGUGGGGGCGUGGGGACCUCGAGUUCCGGGGGUGGCCCCAGCAGCAGCGGCGGAGGAGGCAGCGGCGUCCCCAGUGCGGGCACCAGCUUCCCGCCGCCCGGAGUGAAGCUGGGCCGUGACAGCGGGAAGGUGACCACAGUGGUAGCCACUCUAGGCCAAGGCCCGGAGCGCUCCCAGGAGGUGGCUUACACAGACAUCAAAGUGAUUGGCAAUGGCUCAUUUGGGGUUGUGUACCAGGCACGGCUGGCAGAGACCAGGGAACUGGUAGCCAUCAAGAAGGUUCUCCAGGACAAGAGGUUCAAGAACCGAGAGCUGCAGAUUAUGCGGAAGCUGGACCACUGCAAUAUCGUGAGGCUGAGAUACUUUUUCUACUCCAGUGGGGAGAAGAAAGACGAGCUUUACCUAAAUCUGGUGCUGGAGUACGUGCCCGAGACAGUGUACCGGGUGGCCCGUCAUUUCACCAAGGCCAAGUUGACCAUCCCUAUCAUCUAUGUCAAGGUAUACAUGUACCAGCUCUUCCGGAGCUUGGCCUACAUCCACUCCCAGGGCGUGUGUCACCGUGACAUCAAACCCCAGAAUCUGCUGGUGGACCCUGACACGGCUGUCCUCAAGCUCUGUGAUUUUGGCAGUGCAAAGCAGCUGGUCCGGGGGGAGCCCAAUGUCUCCUACAUCUGUUCUCGCUACUAUCGUGCCCCCGAGCUGAUCUUUGGAGCCACUGAUUAUACCUCAUCCAUCGAUGUGUGGUCAGCUGGCUGCGUACUGGCCGAGCUCCUCCUGGGCCAGCCCAUCUUCCCUGGGGACAGUGGGGUAGACCAGCUGGUGGAGAUCAUCAAGGUGCUGGGAACACCAACCCGGGAGCAGAUCCGAGAGAUGAACCCCAACUACACGGAGUUCAAGUUCCCCCAGAUUAAAGCUCACCCUUGGACAAAGGUGUUCAAAUCUCGAACGCCACCUGAGGCCAUAGCGCUCUGCUCUAGCCUGCUGGAGUACACACCGUCCUCGAGGCUCUCCCCACUGGAAGCCUGUGCCCACAGCUUCUUUGAUGAACUGCGAUGUCACGGAAUCCAGCUCCCUAACAACCGCUCGCUUCCCCCCCUCUUCAAUUUCAGUCCUGGUGAACUCUCCAUCCAACCAUCUCUCAACGCCAUUCUCAUCCCUCCUCACUUGAGGUCCCCGGCGGGCACUGCCACCCUCACCCCACCCUCACAAGUCCAGUUUUCCUGUUUCUCCUGGGGAAGAAAGUCAGACGGGACGGCAGUGGGCCUGCCUUUCCUCGGUCCUUUGGCAUUUGAGUUUGCAACCAUGGAUCUAAAGUGACAGCUUUCACUUUCAAAUGCAGCAUCUUACAUGGACUUCCUGCUUGUGGAGGUUUAAGUGAGACUCAGACCGGCUCAGAAUGGCAGUCAGCCGAAGCCACAGCUCCCCUCACUAACUCCUCCUGAGGGCCCUGCCAACUACCCUUCCAUCUGGGAGCCCCAGGUGGGGCUGGGAAAGGGGGGCCAUAGCUCCUGCCCUGGCUGGGCCCCUAGACUAGAGGGCAGAGGUAAAUGAGUCCCUGUUCCCUCUUCCUGUUCCUUCCUCACCAGCCUCACCCCUAUGGUGGGCUUUUUAAGAGGAUUUCAACUGGCUGUGGGGAGGGAAGAGAAGGAAGGAUGGACGGGGUUGGGGGCAUGAGGACCUCCUAUCCCUUGGCCCUCUUCCCUCCCCCCAGACCGCCCUUCUCCAACCCACCCUCCCUUCCCCUGUCCCUUGUAAAUAGAACCAGCCCAGCCCAUCUCCUCUCCUCUUUCCUGGCCCCCGGGUGUAAAUAGAUUGUUAUAAUUUUUUUCUUAAAGAAAACGUCGAUUCGCACCGUCCAACCUGGCUCCUCCCCCUCCUACAGCUGUGUUCCCCUCCUGUCCUCUGCCCUAAGGUCUCCUCCCUCCUCUCCCCACCCUGGAGGGCUGGGUUAGGGAUGGUGGGGGGAUCCUGAUGUCUUAGUUUCCACAGUAAGGUUUGCCUGUGUACAGACCUCCGUUCAAUAAAUUAUUGGCAUGAAACCUG